GAUGAACGCUAGCUAUAGGCUUAACACAUGCAAGUCGAGGGGAAACGGCAUGAGAUGCUUGCAUCUUAUGGACGUCGACCGGCGUACGGGUGAGUAACGCGUAUCCGACCUGCCCGCGAGUAGGGGAUAACCCGGAGAAAUCCGGACUAAUACCGCAUACACUUAGUUAUCCGCAUGGAUGAUUAAGGAAAGAUUUAUUGCUAAGAGAUAGGCAUGCGUUCCAUUAGUUAGUUGGUGAGGUAACGGCUCACCAAGGCAUCGAUGGAUAGGGGAGCUGAGAGGCUUAUCCCCCACAUUGGGACUGAGACACGGCCCAA
rnacentral:rRNA from 1 species